UCAAGUAAGUAAGGGCGUACGGCGGAUGCCUUGGCCAUAUCAGCCGAAGAAGGACGCGAUAAGCUGCGAUAAGCUGCGGUGAGGUGCAAGUAACCUUUGACCCGCAGAUCUCCGAAUGGGGAAACCCGGCAGCAGUAGUGCUGUCAUCCUCUAUGAGGAAGGGCACCCGGUGAACUGAAACAUCUAAGUAGCCGGAGGAAAAGGAAUCAACAGAGAUACCCCUAGUAGCGGCGAGCGAACGGGGCAGAGCCCAAACCGGGAUGGGAAACCAAUCCGGGGUUGUGGACUGCUAUCAAAUGCAUGAGUGAAGCAGAAUGAGCUGGGAAGCUCAGCCAGAGAGAGUGAGAGCCUCGUAGGCGUAAGCGAAUGCAUGGAGCAGGAUCCGGAGUACCACGGGACACGAGAAACCCUGUGGGAAGCUGGGGGGACCACCCUCCAAGGCGAAACACUGAUAUGGACCGAUAGCGCAUAGUACCGUGAGGGAAAGGUGAAAAGAACCCCGGGAGGGGAAUGAAAGAGAACCUGAAACCGUAUGUCUACAAGCAGUCGAAGACCUUUAUAUGGUCGACGGCGUGCCUAUUGAAGAAUGAACCGGCGAGUUACUUCAGCUAGCGAGGUUAAGCAGGAAAUGCGGAGCCGCAGCGAAAGCGAGUCUGAACAGGGCGUAUAGUUAGUUGGAGUAGACCCGAAACCACAGUGAUCUACCCAUGUCCAGGUUGAAGCACAGGUAAAAAUGUGUGGAGGACCGAACCAGUGAGCGUUGAAAAGCUUUUGGAUGAGAUGUGGGUAGGGGUGAAAUUCCAAUCGAACGUGGAGAUAGCUGGUUCUCCCCGAAAUAGCUUUAGGGCUAGCCUCAUGGCGAGAGUACAGGCGGUAGAGCACUGAACGGGGUAGGGGCCUAUCCGGCUACUGAACCUAAUCAAACUGCGAAUGGCUGUACUUAUCCAUGGGAGUCAGACUGUGAGUAAUAAGGCCCAUAGUCAAGAGGGAAACAGCCCAGACCAACAGCUAAGGUCCCCAAUGCCGUACUAAGUGGCGAAGGAUGUGGAAUUUCGAAAACAACCAGGAUGUUGGCUCAGAAGCAGCCACCAUUAAAAGAGUGCGUAAUAGCUCACUGGUCGAGAGACUCUGCGCCGAAGAUGUCCGGGGCUAAAGUACGGAACCGAAGCUUUGGCAAUUAACAUAAGUUAAUUGGGUAGGGGAGCGUUCCUGCAUGGGAGAAGCCUGACCGGAAGGACAGGUGGACAGGCAGGAAGAGAGAAUGCCGGUAUGAGUAGCGAAAAGAAGGGUGAGAAUCCCUUCCACCGAAAGCCUAAGGGUUCCUGGGCAACGAUCGUCGUCCCAGGGUAAGUCGGGACCUAAUCCGAGGCGGAGACGCGUAGGAGAUGGACAACAGGUUGAAAUUCCUGUACUGGCUGAGGCCGUUUGAGCGAAGGAGUGACACAGGAAGGAAGGCGCGCGUGCGAUUGGAAGAGCACGUCCAAGCAGGUAGGUCGGGAGACAGGCAAAUCCGUUUCCCAGAAGGCCGAGAUGCGAUGGGGAGCUUCUGGAGACAGAAGCGAAGGGGCUGGCACUAAACUGUCGAGAAAAGCUUCUAGUGAGGACUCAGGCACCCGUACCGAAACCGACACAGGUAGGCAGGAUGAGAAUUCUAAGGUGCGCGGGAAAACCCUCGUUAAGGAACUCGGCAAAAUAUAUCCGUAACUUCGGGAAAAGGAUAACCCAGCGUACGUGAAGUGCAGAAGCGCAUGGAGCGGAGAUGGGUGGCAGAAGAGAGGCCCAAGCGACUGUUUACCACAAACACAGGCGUCUGCUAAAGCGAAAGCUGAUGUAUAGAUGCUGACACCUGCCCGGUGCUGGAAGGUUAAGAGGAAGUGUUAGCGCAAGCGAAGCAGUGAAUUGAAGCCCCAGUAAACGGCGGCCGUAACUAUAACGGUCCUAAGGUAGCGAAAUUCCUUGUCGGGUAAGUUCC
rnacentral:rRNA from 1 species